CAUGCGUACCGGGUUCAUUGUCACAUUAUCCUAUUAUGUUAUGGAUGCGGUGGUGGAGUGUACGUGCACGCGUUCUUGAACAUACAUAGCUAGUCUAGUCGUUGUCAAUGGAAGGAGCACCUAGUUUUGAAGUGUUCAUUGCGUGACUGCGGAAGCCGACUCUCACGUAAUUUGGAUACAAAGAACAAGUUUCGGAAUGUAUUUCACAUGAUUCAUUCAAAUUUCUUUUUAUCCACUGACGGAGGUUCUGUUUGUCGAUUUUGUAUUUUGUUGCCACACAUUGUUCAGAGAUGAUGCUCUACCUUCCUUCACAAUAUUCAAUUUUCAGAUCUCUUUUCUCUUCGUGGACAGUUCUUGGCAAAUGGCAAACUAAACAAUGAGUGUGAACAAUGUGGGAUACCAGUCUUCGGCUCCAAGGCAUGGGUUACUGUUCAAACAUGGGUUACUAUCAUUUCAAACUGAUCAGAUCCGUCAGUUAUAUUCGAGUACAGUUUAUUAUUCAAGGAAAUAUGAAAGUGUGAAGAAAGAAUGAAGACGGUAAAGCAGCAAUGAUGUAUACUGGGUAUAUUUAUGUAUUUUUAAUAGUGUAGUACAGUACGGUGCAGAUGUAACACUACAUCAAAGGUUUCACUGAUCAACUAUUUAUAUAUAUACCGUAUUCGCCCGUAAUAACGCCCAUGCCCGUAUAUACGCCCAUGUGCGACAGGUCAGAACUUUCAGCCCGAAAAAAACCCCAUGCCCAACUAUACGCCCAGAAUACGCAUGCGCAGACAAAGCAAAAUGGGUCCGCAGAACAUUCGUCUCCGUCUGUGUGCGUUUGAUGAGCUGGUGUCAAUGUUGAGUGAAAGUGCUUGCCGCUAGACUCAUGUCUUCGUUGCAAUUACCGCCCCUGAUGCUCUUGACGGGCUUCAGUCCGACCACGUGUGCAUAGUGUUUAGUUUCUGCGUGUAUGUAUGUUGAUGCUGAAUGGAUACCAGUACCUUAGAUCUUGCAAAUGGAUAAUUGUAAGCAUUUGUGGUAUUUCUGUCUUCAAGUAUUUAGAUGAUGACUGGCCAGACGACAACAUUUAGUGACCAUGUGUACGCCUAGGACCAAAAUAACGCCCAUGCCCUAG